rnacentral:rRNA from 1 species
AUUGAACGCUGGCGGCAUGCCUAACACAUGCAAGUCGAGCGGAAGCACGGGGACAGCCCUGGUCUCGAGUGGCGGACGGGUGAGUAAUGCAUAGGAACGUGCCCGGUCGUGGGGGAUAACGUAACGAAAGGAACGCUAAUACCGCAUCCGAUCUGAGGAUGAACGCGGGGGAUCUUCGGUCCUCGCGCGAUCGGCUGGCCCUAUGUCGGAUUAGCUAGUUGGUGGGGUAAAGGCCUACCAAGGCGACGAUCCGUAGCUGGUCUGAGAGGAUGACCAGCCACACUGGAACUGAGACACGGUCCAGACUCCUACGGGAGGCAGCAGUGGGGAAUAUUGGACAAUGGGCGAAAGCCUGAUGCAGCCAUGCCGCGUGCGUGACGAAGGUCUUCGGAUUGUAAAACUCUGUUAUUAGGGACGAAAAGAUGUGUGAUAAUACCUGGGGGUCUUGACGGUACCGAAAGAAUAAGCACCGGCUAACUACGUG